rnacentral:rRNA from 1 species
GGAGUUAGCCGGUGCUUCUUCUGUGAGUGAUGUCCUUCCUGCCGGCUAUUAACCCGCAGGCCUUCUUCCUCACUGAAAGUGCUUUACAACCCGAAGGCCUUCUUCACACACGCGGCAUGGCUGGAUCAGGGUUGCCCCCAUUGUCCAAUAUUCCCCACUGCUGCCUCCCGUAGGAGUCUGGGCCGUGUCUCAGUCCCAGUGUGGCUGAUCAUCCUCUCAGACCAGCUACGGAUCGUCGCCUUGGUGAGCCGUUACCUCACCAACCAGCUAAUCCGACAUAGGCUCAUCCGAUAGCGCGAGGCCCGAAGGUCCCCCGCUUUACCCCGUAGGGCGUAUGCGGUAUUAGCCUGGGUUUCCCCAGGUUAUCCCCCACUACCGGGCAGAUUCCUAUGCAUUACUCACCCGUCCGCCGCUCGCCACCAGGGAGCAAGCUCCCCGUGCUGCCGCUCGACUUGCAUGUGUUAGGCCUGCCGCCAGCGUUCAAUCUGAGCCAGGAUCAAACUCUGA